rnacentral:rRNA from 1 species
GAUGAACGCUGGCGGCGUGCCUAACACAUGCAAGUCGAGCGAAGCACUUUGCUUGGAUUCUUCGGAUGAAGAGGAUUGUGACUGAGCGGCGGACGGGUGAGUAACGCGUGGGUAACCUGCCUCAUACAGGGGGAUAACAGUUAGAAAUGACUGCUAAUACCGCAUAAGACCACAGCACCGCAUGGUGCAGGGGUAAAAACUCCGGUGGUAUGAGAUGGACCCGCGUCUGAUUAGGUAGUUGGUGGGGUAACGGCCUACCAAGCCGACGAUCAGUAGCCGACCUGAGAGGGUGACCGGCCACAUUGGGACUGAGACACGGCCCAA